rnacentral:lncRNA from 10 species
UUGGGAGGCUGAGGUGGGUGGAUCACGAGGUCAGGAGAUCGAGACCAGCCUGGUAACACAGUGAAACCCCGUCUACUGAAAAUACAAAAAAUUAGCCGGGCAUGGUGGCACAUGCCUAUUCCUCACUCUUUCCAGGUGGUAGGGCCCCACAGGCCUGCUACUUCUGCAUCAUGGGGAGAGAAUGAGUCCUCUGAUCAGUGCGUCUGGAGAAUCGGGUGCAUGAUCUGCUCUGUUCUGCCCUUCUUCCUCUUGGGAUCUCCCUGCCUACAAUGGGUCCACACCCACUGCCCCUACAGGGAUUCUGAGAGGGAGGCCUACCCAGCCCAGUACUGCCACAACUCAGGGGCUGCGGGGGGUGUCUGCCUAACUUGGGGGCUCAGUCAUCAGCCCACACCAAGCAACAUACUCUGACCUGGGGCAUGACUUAGUUGGUAAUAAGGCUGAUAUUGUGACUCCAUCUGCCUUUCCUUUGCUUCAUUUCCCAGUGUG